rnacentral:rRNA from 1 species
UACGUAGGGGGCAAGCGUUGUCCGGAUUUAUUGGGCGUAAAGCGCUCGCAGGUGGUUCGUCGCGUCGUGCGUGAAAGACCCCGGCUCAACUGGGGGGUGUCGUGCGAUACGGGCGGACUGGAGGCCAGUAGGGGGAUGCGGAAUUCCGGGUGUAGUGGUGGAAUGCGUAGAGAUCCGGAGGAACACCAGCGGCGAAGGCGGCAUCCUGGACUGGUCCUGACACUCAGGAGCGAAAGCGUGGGAGCGAUCCGG